rnacentral:tRNA from 1 species
GGGCGGGUAGCUCAGCUGGUGAGAGCGCUGCCCUUACAAGGCAGAGGUCAGAGGUUCAAGUCCUCUCCCGCCCA